AAGUAAAUUAAAUUUCAACAUUAGUUUUAAACCACGUGUCUGUAAUUAAUAGUCUAAUUCAUGUGAUCUUAUAACAGAACAUUAAUAUUAAUAUUUUAUAAAAAUUAAUAACUACAAUUUUCAUUUUAUUCCAGUCGAUGAUGAAAAGAAAAAGAAAAUAGCGAAUGAAUUAGGAAUAAGAUUCAGUAACUAUAUGAAAGAUGCUAAUCCGGCAACAAGAUUUUGUGGCAUUAAAAUCGAUGACAACCGCAGUUAUUUAAAAAACGUUGUAUAUUAAGAAAUUAACAUUUCAAUAUUUUAGCUGGGUUGAAUUGAAACAUAUUUUCAACUACCGAUAAUUCACUAUUUUGCAGCCCCAGUCAUUAUUAAUUUAAAUAAUAUAUUAUAAUUAUUAUUAUGAGAUUUUCCUUACACGAUUUACAAAAAACAAAAUGCACUUACCUAUAAUGUGGGAGAAUAUAAAAUUCUUUAACUUUUUUUGCUUUUAAUCCUAAAAGACACAUUUCUUAUAAUAAACUACAUACAUUUUCUACCUGCACAAUUAUAUAUUGUAACACAAUUUAACUCUUUCCCUUUUAUCAUUACUAUUGCUAUUAUUAUUACUUUUUUUAAAUGUAUUUCCUUAAUUAUACAAUUUUAUAUAUGUAUGUAAUACGUAUUGAUUAUAGUUUUCUGUUCCACACAGAAAAUUAUGUAUUUUGUGCAGUUUGCUUUGAAU